rnacentral:rRNA from 1 species
GACAGAGGGUGCAAACGUUGUUCGGAAUUACUGGGCGUAAAGCGUGCGUAGGUGGCUUGUUAAGUCUGUUGUGAAAGCCCCGGGCUCAACCUGGGAAUGGCAAUGGAUACUGGCAGGCUAGAGUGCGGUAGAGGGUAGUGGAAUUCCCGGUGUAGCGGUGAAAUGCGUAGAGAUCGGGAGGAACACCAGUGGCGAAGGCGGCUACCUGGACCAGCACUGACACUGAGGCACGAAAGCGUGGGGAGCAAACAGG